UCCUGGCUCAUUUUAUAGCUGCAAUCACAAGAAAGAAGUAGCAAAGCUGUUAUUACUCACAAUGCCAUGGCUCUUUGGAAGCUGUUGGGUUGAAGCAAUAUCAUCCUUCCUGCUUCUGCAGUUCCCUAAUAGCAUGUAUUUAACGCUGGGUAUAUCAUCACUCCUGACACUGCUCUGCCCACCAUGUCACUUACGAUUAUGGGUGUCAGUAGUUCUCACCAAGGUUGUUGUCGUGCUCCACAAUAAUGACCACUAAAUGCAAUUCUUACCUGCAGGAAAAUCUGAAUUAAAAUUCUUUUUUUUUUUGGUCAUGUUAAUGUAUUGUUUGGAAUUUUUUAGCAUAGAUGUAGAGCAAUACAACUUCCAACUGUGUCUUCUUUUCAACUCUGUAGGCCAUCCAGGCUGGGUGCAUUCCUAGGAUGUGAUUUCCUUCAGUGUGGAGUAAACCCUGCCUUUUACCCACCAACACCAGCAAGGAAGUAUAGAAGACCAGUACCAUUUACUCAAGGAAUGUCCAUCUUUCAUUUGGAAUGCCUUAAGACUUCCAGGAAGAGCAUGCUAUCACUACAUCAAUUGGAGCUCAAUCUUACCCAAUACCGCAAAAGAAAUACCAUACUGGCCAACAGGAACUAUCUGUUUGGGGCAGGAGGGAAAGGUGUACAGAGCAGGCACUGAAUGCAGCCUUAGGAAAUUUCUAGGAAGACACUUUCAGCAACCGGGACCCACACGUGACCAAGCGCCUUGCUUGGAUGCCCUGGCCAGUCCCAGUCACUGGAGAGGGUAUUUCUUCAAGGAAGAUACUGCAAUGCACUGGGGAUGGGUGGUCCUCAGACACAAGACCUGGACAGGAGGGAAGCUUUCCUGGGUCCAAGAGUGGUACUAAAAUUUGUGGUCAAAUGCAGGGUUUGGAAGAAGCUGGAAGGAAACCUGGAGCCCUGAUUUUCUAGCCAUCUUAUACUCACCAAUAAAGAAUGUUAAUUCUAUAUUAAUAUUAAAAAUUGUGCAUAUGUGUGUGUGUGCAUGUGCAUAUAUGCUGGGGUGAGUGGGGAGAGGAGAGCAAAAGAAAAUACAAACAUAUUGAUUUGAGUGCAUAAGAGUAUAUCAAAUAUUACCAUCAUUCAAAAAAACUUCUAUAAAACUAAAGACAUCGAAA
rnacentral:lncRNA from 1 species